GCGUUGGAUAUGUAUGGUUGAUUUUAUAUAAUUGUUUAUUGAAAUAUCAUUGGUUGUUGUUGUAAUUUUUUGAUUUAAUUUUUAGUGCGAUAGUUUACUUGUACUGUGAGGGGUUAAUUUUUUUUUGUUAGAAGUUGAUUUUGUUUGUUGUACCUUGUGUAUCAGGGUUCAUUGAAUUUUAUUAUUUAUUUUUAUUUCCCGAUUUUGGAGGAGUUAAUGGUCUAUGUUGGUUGCUGUUUCAUUAUCAUUAAUAAUGGAUUGUUGGUAGUGAGAUGCUAUUUCGUCUUCAGUGGUUUCUGGUUUUUCAAGAAAUGAAUUUAAUUCAUGCAUCUUAUUUAAUAUUUAUUGUUGGUUUAUAUUUUUUUAUUUGAUGUUAAGAUUGGGGGGGAUUAGCUCUCUAUUUUAGUUUUUAUAAUUUGGUUUAGUAUAAUUUAUUUUUGUGGAUUUUAUAUUGAUUUUCGGUUUGAUUAUGUUAAAAUUUUAUUUGUUAUGUUUUUAAUUUUUUUUUGUUUAAUGUUUUAUUGGAAUGUUUUCUUUAUUUUAUUUUGUGUAGUAAUUAUUGUGGAAUUAGUAAAUUGUGUUUUGUGUUGUUUAAUUUUAAAGGUGUUAUGUUCUUUUAAGGAAUUAGGCAAAGAUUUUCAUGUCCGCCUGUUUAACAAAAACAUCUUUUCUCGUUAGUUUUUGAAGUAUGGCCUGCCCGCUGAUGCUUUGUGAUUAUAGUUGAAGGGCCGCGGUAUUUUGACCGUGCAAAGGUAGCAUAAUCAUUAGUUCUUUAAUUGUGAUCUGGUAUGAAUGGCUUGACGAGAUAUGAGCUGUCUUAGGUGGUAGGAAUUGUUUAUUGAAUUUGGUUUUUGAGUUAAAAUUCUUAGAUGUUUUUAUGGGACGAGAAGACCCUAUAGAGUUUGACAAUGUGGUGUGUUUUAUUAUUAGUUUGAGAUUUAAGUUUAAUGUACCUAUUGUUUUGUUGGGGUGAUGGGAGGAAUUUUUUUAACUCCUCUUUUAUUUGAUAUAUUUAUGUAUAUGUGUGUUGAUCCAUUUAUUUUGAUUAAAAGAUUUAAUUACCUUAGGGAUAACAGCGUUAUCCUCCUUGAGAGUUCUUAUUGGCAGGGGGGUUUGCGACCUCGAUGUUGGAUUAGGGUUAAUUUUUGGUGUAGGAGCUGAAGUUGAUUGGGUCUGUUCGACCUUUAAAAUCUUACAUGAUCUGAGUUCAGACCGGCGUGAGCCAGGUUGGUUUCUAUCUAUAAUUUUUGUUUAUGCCUUAGUACGAGAGGACCGGGUAUUUGAAAUAAUUUUGGUAAUAUUGCGUUUUAUUAAUGUUUACUAUUUUGGCAGACAAGUGCGUUGGAUUUAGGAUCUA
rnacentral:rRNA from 1 species